rnacentral:rRNA from 1 species
CACGUACCUUCGGCUUUGUAUUGGAUGAGUUAAGUAUAAACCCCUUAACAAGUAUCAAUUGGAGGGCAAGUCUGGUGCCAGCAGCCGCGGUAAUUCCAGCUCCAAUAGCGUAUAUUAAAGUUGUUGCAGUUAAAAAGCUCGUAGUUAAUCUUCUGUUAAUUUUUAUAUAUAAUAUCACGAUAUUUAUAUAAUAUUAACAUAAUUCAUAUUACUUUUUAGUAUAUGAAACUUUACUUUGAGAAAAUUAGAGUGCUUAAAGCAGGCUAUUGCCUUGAAUACUCCAGCAUGGAAUAAUAUUAAGGAUUUUUAUUCUUCUUAUUGGUUCUAGAAUAAAAAUGAUGAUUAAUAGGGACAGUUGGGGGCAUUUGUAUUUAACAGUCAGAGGUGAAAUUCUUAGAUUUGUUAAAGACAAACUACUGCGAAAGCAUUUGCCAAGGAUGUUUUCAUUAAUCAAGAACGAAAGUUAGGGGAUCGAAGACGAUCAGAUACCGUCGUAGUCUUAACCAUAAACUAUGCCAACUAGAGAUUGGAGGUGCCCUACCCCCCCUAAAAAGGGCGGCCGACAGAGAUUUUCAAC